ACCUGAAAGCAGUGCUGAGUGAAGCAAUGAUGUGUCUUAAACAGUAAUAUUUCAUGGCAAAUCAUCUGCUCUGAAACGGAGACGAGAAGGUGGCAUUUUUCACCUAACUGCAUCUCUUCUCUAUUUUUCUUACCUUUCUUUUUUGGAAACCUGGUUCAAAUCCAACCUAGGACUUGGUGGUUGUGCUGAGCUGGUUUGGGAAGGGGAUUUUAGCCUCGGUAGAACAAGCUGGAGGAGAGGAGGAGAAAAUCUGUAAGACUUGGGAAGAGGACAGGAGAGGAGUCCCCGAGUUAUCAGGCUGGGAGAGAGCUCAGGGCUGCAGGGCCCAGGGCAGCGGCUCAUUCCACGCUGAGCAACUUCGGGCAAGUCCAGGAAGCAUUUUCAGGAGCACUCCAAGUCCUGUCCAUAAAGACAGAGGUGUUUUUCCAUGCUUAAAGAGCAGGUGGGCACAAACAGCUUUGUUUUUCGAAGGCCGUGAUGCUUUUUUUUCACUCCCAGCUGGGCGUGCCAAGUUUUCCCAGUUUUUGGGCAGCUGGUUGUAUUUUCAAAAGCACCUGCAUACGGUGAAUUUUUUCUGAUGGGAAGCCGAUGUAUUCUGUAAUAUACCAGAAACCUCAGGACCCAUCUGUUUAAUAAGCCUCUGUGUGGGACAAAAAUUGCUGCAGGGCUGUAUGUAAGCAUCAGAUGUGGCCAUUCAGUCUAUGGCGGGAGGCAGAAGAACUUUGGAAGUUAAAGGUUUUUUUCAAGUUUGAUGGCAUUAAAUGUCACUAAUUUCUAUGGAGGUAGAGUGUUCUUAUUUAUCAACUUAAAACAUAAAGGGAAGAGCCAGCUGCUUCUGAACUGUGCAGCGGCAGAAGAGUUUCAGGGGAACAAAUGAAGUCCAUCUAUCUGUUAGGGUGAAAGUACCACUGUCUUGCUUCACUGCCUCAUAAUAUGGAAAUUAUGUUUCUUUUUUAGGACAGAUGAGUCAUUUGACCACUCAGACAACUAUACGGACACAUCUCCGUCCAUUUAUAUUAUCUUUCUCUUUCUCAUGUGUGCAUGUUUCUUCCUUAUUACCAGCCACUGCUUUCUCCAAAAACAAUAAUCACUGGUUAUUCUCAUUUAUUUGAUAAGGCCAAACAAUUUCAGUGCCCAGAAAGUAAUUAUGAAUUUGGCAGUUCUGAUUAAUAAAUCUUUCAUGAAGCAUGCUCCAUUUUGUCCAUAAACAGCAUCUUCCAGAGAUUCAUUGAGAAAAUAUGGAGAAAUAGAAUAGACAGAAAGAGAAAGCAAGGCAAAGAGAAAAAAUGCAUUCUUCCAGGCAGUAAUGUCCUGCUCUCAGUCUUACAUGUGUAAGGUGAUUUUAACUGUUGGAUUAAUUCCUUUAGCACUCAGUCUGUACACACCAUUUCAUUUUAAUGGAUACUGUUUGCAUUUUACUCUUCCUGGCUUCACAGUGCCUCUUACUAAGUUAGCUCCACUCUCACUAUCAAAACCUUCUGAAUUAUUUUUAGGAGCUAAUUUCUGUCCUCAGACUUGCUGAAGCAUAGCAUUGUACAGCUUGAAGGCCUUGUCUUGUGUUACAGCUGAGCUAGACUUGCAUCAAGCACAUGCUAAACUUGCCAAGCACUAGCUGCUUUCUGUUGUCUGGGAAGAGGUAUCCGGUGUGUUGUGAGAAAGCAUCAAGCGUCCCAGCUAGCUGCCAGGAUGCCAGCCUCCUGUUGUCUUCUGCUGCUUCUGCCAGCCCCAUGCAGAUGUUUUGGAUGCUCUAGGGUCUCUCGGGAGGUGCUGUUAAUUUUCCUUUUAGCCAGCUGAAUUGGUCCCUUCAGGUCCUGCAAAGAAAUCUCUGUGGUAUGGACUUCAGCCAUAGACCUGAAGUCACUCAUAAGCUCAGGGAAUUAACUCAGCACAUCCCAAAGUGUCCUACUGAAAGACGUGAAAUGGGAUUUUUGCCUAGCAAAAACUGAAUGUGGGGAUACUGAGAAAGCAGGAUCCUGAAACCUGCCUGCUGUUGCAGUAUAUUACAGCGAAUUGAAGGAUUUUGGCUUCUUCCUUUAGGAAAUACAAUUCUCAUUAAAGGCAUGAAAUUAAGCUCCUUGGAGACCCGAGCGUCAGUCUGGAGAACAAUCUGAAUAUGACUUUUUAGCAAGACCAGCUUCUCGCUGUAUAUGCCUGUGUUUCAGCAGCAUGCAGCAGGAACUUGCUUCAGACUGAGCUGGGAGGCUCUGUGCUUGCUCCGUGAUGUUCCCUCCUCACCAGCUCCCUGGGAUGGGAGCACAGAAUUCUCUGGAGAUCAGGGUCGGCUGUCGUCCUUUGGUUCCCUCUCCCCCAGAACAGGCCAGCAAGCCCCAGUUGAACCAUGCAUUUUGGACUUUCCCAAUCUUGCUCAAACAAGAAACAAGCAGCCUAGUUCUCACCACAGUGGUGGGGAAGGAUGCUCCUGCUGUCUUCUUUUGAAGGUCUCCAGCCCCACCUCGGGGCCUGCAGAGCAGACGCUGCCUUGAUAGAGACACUCAGGCACAAGGGCAUCUCUGCAGCAGGGUGGUUCAGCAGCAUCUUCUCCUGAUUGUGUCCUCUCACGUGAGUUCCCUGUGCUGCUUGGAGCCACCAAGAGUGCCUGAGGUGUGGGCUCCACAAGGGCAUGGGCCCUGUCCUCAGGGAGCACCAGCAUCCCGCUGCAAUUCCUCCUUUCCGCACGGCAUCACCUGCCACUGGCAUCUGCCUCUGCAAGAGCUUCCUCUUUUGUCUCCUCAUCUGAGUCGGCAACGCGAGGCAGCCAGGUGUCACGUUCAACAAAUCUCCAUCAAGUGAUUGCUGUGGAAGGAAAUGAAGUUUGAAGAACUCCUUUGCUGCUCCUGACGCUUCGGCUCUGACCUUCUUGCGCUCUCAGCUUAUCUCCAUGGAGAUGCUCAUUUUGCAGCUUGGCUCCAUCUUCUGCCAGCCACUGCCUCACGCAAAGGCAGGGCCUGGGCAGGGGAGUGAGGCUGCUUCCAGGCUUUGAUGCUGGUCCUUUUAACGCAAGGAUGCUUUAAAAUGGACAGCGAGAUCUGCUUCUCCUUCAGGAAACAUGUGCUUUGAGGCAGUCUGAGCUCACGCGGUUCGCUGAGGACCCAAAAGAGGAGAAUUAAAGCUUGAGCUAGAAAUUUCUAUGGCAUAUCUGUACCUUGCUGCUGUGCCUGUCUGCCAAGUGGUGGAAUGGGUCUCAUAUCUUCAGGACAGGUCUAUCCUUUGUUCCUUUGUUGAGAAGUCUCAUCAUGCCCAUGCUCUUGCCAACAGUAGUAGAGUUAGGUAUGUACACUCUGUCCAACAGCCAAAAGAAUAAGGCCAAGCAGAAGGCAGUGCCCGAGGCACAGAGCCCCGCUGCUGCUGGGCGUUCAGACACAGCACUGCCCCCAUUAGUAAAGCUUAUCAUGACAUACGCAUGAAAAUAAUGUUUGGGGCAAGGGAAAGCAGAAAUUUUUCUAAUACUGCUUAGUACUCUGACAGUGCCCGUCAGUCUGAAUUAUUUAGCCCUCAUCGUGACGGCACACGUGUGACUUUUGAUCUUUAAUUUAGGGUAGAGGAUAAUUUAGUUUCUCUGGGCCUCGUCCUUUGUGAUGUGAGGGAAGAACAGCUCCAGCCUGGAGCCUCAGUCGCUGCCUGAUUCUGGGCAAAAAUGACUUGCACUUCCCCAAGAAGUGAGGCGUUAGGAGGACGAUGCUCUGUGUGCUCCGUGAUGGCUCUGGUUGGGAAAUAUUCCUCAAACCAUUUUUCAUCAGGAAAUGCUGAUUCUUGGAAACACGCUUUCUAUGAGAGAAAAAAAAAGAAAGGGGCAAGUUUUCCUCAUUUUAGCAACUCUUAAAUAGUGCGGCAGCUUGAAGAGGAACCCAGUGAAGUCCUGUUUUCUUUUUUUUGACUUGUUUCAGAUUGUAACUUCAUUAUGAUGAAAACCAAAAGGAAGUCAAAAUGAAUGGUAAAAAAACUGAAAGAAAACUUUGAAGACUGACCUAAAAAUAAAGCAUACCAAUAUGACAAGAGAAAGGUUUCCCUAUAUUUGAUCCUCCCGCUUUGGUCCUUUUAUUCCUAGAGGGAGCAAAGGGAUGGCAAGACCCUGCAAGAAGGGUUGAAGGUUCUCAGCCCAGGGUGAGUCCCUGGGGCUGGUUCAUGUGUCUGCAGCCAGCAUCUGUGGUCACCAAUAAACCACAGCUUCUCCUGCUGCUGGAGCUCAGAGGAAGAAGCCAUUUUAGGGCCAAACCCCUUCCCUGGGCUGCCUGGGAGAUGGAGGAAGCAGUGCCUGAGCCUUUCUGAAUUUCUUCUGAAUUUAAAUGCCAACUGAAUCAGGAGCCAGGGCUCUGCCCAGUGCCAGAUCACUCACCAGCCAGAUGGCACCUUCUGAAGCUCUUCCACCUUCAUCCGAGCUUCAAGGGAUGCAGUGAAGGUGUUUGCAGGCAAGUGUCUCUUCCUUUUUCCUUCAGUGCUUUCACAGCCUUGCCUGCAGAUUUACAUGGGUGUAAGUUCAGAGCAGAGUGAUACAGGCUGAGUGUGAUCUGAGCUCCUUUCCUGUUGGUGACAGAAAGCCAGAACAGUGACAUGAGGCUGCCUCCUGCAUGCAGGAACCUCUGUCCUGUUCCCAGCACCACUUACAGUGCUUCUGCCUUGCUUGCACUGGCAUAUGAGGCAUCCCUUAGGGAUCCCUUUAGGGAUUGAUCAAUCCCAUGCA